rnacentral:rRNA from 1 species
UACGAGGGGGGCAAGUGUUGUUCGGAAUUACUGGGCGUAAAGGGAGCGUAGGCGGGCUCUUAAGUUGGAUGUUUAAAACCGGGGCCUAACCCCGGCGUGGCAUCCAAAACUGGGAGUCUUGAAUGGGACAGAGGCCAGUGGAAUUAGAGGUGUAACGGUGGAAUGCGUAGAUAUCUCUAAGAACACCAGUUGCGAAGGCGGCUGGCUGGGUCCACAUUGACGCUGAGGCUCGAAAGCGUGGGGAGCAAACAGG